rnacentral:rRNA from 1 species
GACGAACGCUGGCGGCGUGCUUAACUCAUGCAAGUCGAACGGAAAGGCCCUGCUUUUGUGGGGUGCUCGAGUGGCGAACGGGUGAGUAACACGUGAGUAACCUGCCCUUGACUUUGGGAUAACUUCAGGAAACUGGGGCUAAUACCGGAUAGGAGCUCCUGCUGCAUGGUGGGGGUUGGAAAGUUUCGGCGGUUGGGGAUGGACUCGCGGCUUAUCAGCUUGUUGGUAGGGUAGUGGCUUACCAAGGCUUUGACGGGUAGCCGGCCUGAGAGGGUGACCGGCCACAUUGGGACUGAGAUACGGCCCAGACUCCUACGGGAGGCAGCAGUGGGGAAUAUUGCACAAUGGGCGGAAGCCUGAUGCAGCAACGCCGCGUGCGGGAUGACGGCCUUCGGGUUGUAAACCGCUUUCGCCUGUGACGAAGCGUGAGUGACGGUAAUGGGUAAAGAAGCACCGGCUAACUACGUG